CAGGAGACUAAAUUCUGGAGUUUCUCUGUACAACUGCAUUAUCCCCAUUGUUAUUUUAUUUCCCUCCAAUUUUUUACACAAAAUGUUUGCAGAGACUUUGUAUUUACUUCCAGAUAGCUGAGGAGACUUUAACAUCCCUGAGUCUGAUAAAGCUCCUGCAGAGCCCCACUGUAAACGCUCAUUUCAAGGAAGAUGUUGGCGGUUAUUCUGCACAAUGCACGCUCUGCUGAUGAAAUGAUGAUGGCCACACACGUGCAUGCUGAGCAUGGUCUGUGACAAAGCGCUGAGGGAUCAUGGGCUGUUCAGUCUGAGGAGCAAAAGCCACCGCCAUGAAACAAUUAAGUCCAUUGGGUAAAGAGAUCACCUGCCCCGCAGCAAAGAACAAACUCUUUCAUGUGCACUGUGAAUGGGAAAACAGGGGAACUCACAAGCCAGGUGAUGUGACCAGGCUUAGGAGUAGAAAUAUAAGCAUCAUCCCUGCAGGGGACCCAUUCUGCACUGAGCAGCAAUUGUCUAGAGGAAAUGUGACAAUACAAGGACAGAACACAGCUCACAAGCAGUUCAACUCCAAAUUUCACACAGAGGGCUUGGCAGGAGCCCAUCCAAAGCCACAGCUGUGGCAGGACGCAAGCCAGGAGCCACAAGUUGUACUGCUACCAGUGCUUUCCAGCCUCAUCCUGCCAUAUGUUAUCCAUUAUGUCCUGCAUGUCUCCACCACAGAGGGACUUUUUUUCCUUUUGCUUCCCUCAGAUCUCCAACAGUUUUGGUACAAGGUUCAGUAGAUGACAG
rnacentral:lncRNA from 1 species